CUCCGCCGGCGACCGGCGCACGGGUGCGUAACGCGUAUGCAACCUACCUUUAACAGGGGCAUAACACUGAGAAAUUGGUACUAAUUCCCCAUAACAUUCGAGAAGGCAUCUUCUUGGGUUAAAAACUCCGGUGGUUAAAGAUGGGCAUGCGUUGUAUUAGCUAGUUGGUGAGGUAACGGCUCACCAAGGCAACGAUACAUAGGGGGACUGAGAGGUUAACCCCCCACAUUGGUACUGAGACACGGACCAA
rnacentral:rRNA from 1 species